rnacentral:pre_miRNA from 1 species
GAUUUCAACCGAAGAAGUCAUCAAUAACAAAGUUGUAUAGCUCAUCAAGAUCUAUAACUUUUAUUUUGGUCAUUUAUCCUUCCGACAAAGUAAUUGGUAAGAUUGUUCACAAAAUGUAUAUCUCUUUUAAAACUAUAUAAGAGAUGUACAUUUUGUGAGUAAUCUUACAAAUCACUUUGUCGGAUGAAGAAAUGAUCAAAACAGAAGUUAUAUAUCUUGCUGAGUUAUACAGUUUUGUUAUUGAUGACUUUUUUAGAUGAAAUC